GAUAAUGUGUCGAUGAAUGAUGAUUUACUCCUGGCUUUGCAGUUGGAAUACGACGUACGAAAGUUUACUCGGAAGCAAUAAGCGGUUUGCUCUCCGUGUCCCUCUCGCAGAAAUGGUUGAUUUUCUGGUGGACAUCUGGGAACAGGAAGGGAUGUAUGACUGACCGAGCCCCCCUUUUUGAUGGGAUCAUUGAGUGCAUUGUUUAACCUUCCUUAUGUAUGUUGCAGCAGUCAACUCUUGUUAAUUGAAUUGAAUCGCUCAUGAAUCAAAAGGCGAUUAUUUCAGGGUG